UUUACUGACAAUAGCAGUCAACCUACUUGUGAAAACUAACCUGCCGUAUAUAUAUUUCCUCUUCUAUUCAUUAUUACAAUCUGCAAGAUCUGCAGAUGUAGGUGAGCAAAAAGCUAAGGUUUGGUAAGACAUUAAGCUAUGCAAAGCUGAAGACAAUUGAUUUGGAAAUUCUAGUGAAUCUUGCUGGUGACAAGGAAAGAUAUUUAAACUCUCACAUGGUGCUAAAAUCUUGGGAUCUUAGAGAAUUUUCUUUUCUGUACACCCGUCAUUCAAAGUUAAAUAUCUCUAUCUUACCAUGACUUUGGAUUGAGUAAGAUUGAUGGUGUUGGAAUUUUAUCCUUCAUAUCUAGAUGGGUUAUUCUUGACAUCGUUUGAGAGGUAAAAAUCUACCUAAGUUCCUUUUCCUUUUCAAAUCAAGCUCUUUGAAUCAUAAAUUUAGGUAUGAAUUUAAAAAAAGAAAAAAGAAAAAAAAAAGAAAAAAGGGAAAUAGUGAGACAAUUGUUAAUAAAAAUAUAAGUUUUUUUUUUUUUUUUUUUCAUUUCGCUUUUAUUUUCAAAUUUCUAUUGAAAUUUAUAUCCAAACACAGCGUUAUUUCCUUGUUUGAAAUUUGCAUUAAUUCGACGAAAGCUAUGUUAGUAUAUGUUACAUUAACGGUAUGAAUAUGAGUGUAAUUGUGUGUCUUGGACCGAAUAAUAAUAUAUACUCAAUAUUUUAUUGAGAAAUUUAUUAGGAAAUCUUAUUAAGUAUUUGUAUCUGAAUUAAUACAUAAUAUAUUCUUGUAUUUUAAGUCCUAUUAUUUGGACAUUUGAUUCACUAAAUUCUACUUCUUAGAUUUAAGGUAAUUUUUUGAACAAUUGUACACUUACAAAUAUUUUUUGUAUCCUUAACAAUUUAGUGAUAUGAACAUUCAUAUUUGAUAGUAUGAAUGUUCAUAUCACGGUAAAUUCACACUGUUAAGAUUAAUGCACUUUACCCUAUUAUUAUUAGAGAUAUCUUAGUAACGAUAUCACCCAUAACACAUUGAAAUAUAAUAAGAUAAU